CCUAGUACUCAUUAGUUAUAUUUCCUGAUCCUCUCCCUCCUCCCACCCUCCAUCCUCUGGAAUAAAAAAAUUUGUUUUUAGAGGCAGGGUCUUGCUUUGUGACUCAGGACCUGUGUCCACAUCCAGUCCUGCCUCCUACAAGCUUAUGGCCUCUCUAAUCUCAACGUAGUUAGCUUUCUUAAACCCAUUUCCCUUUGGGUGUAACACUUGUCAGCCAGGCUCAGAAGGACAACAUAAUAUCCUAGCAGAGUACACCCUGCCCCCCCAUAAAAUUGGUAACAGAGAUGUUUGGCCUGGUCACUGGGUUUGUGGUGAGGUCUGUAAAAAGCUUUAAGGAGCUCGCUGGUCUUGAGUAGGGUCAAAUGUUGCUUCUUCACCAUCAUCAGAGGCUGCCUCAUCACAGCCACGGAUUUGAGGAUUUAAGUGGGAAGGACUCAUGGCAAGCGACAAAAAGUCGAAUUGGGAAAACAGUGCCCUCAGGGAUGGGGCCAUGCUCAGGUACUUAGAUUACAACCUCCCUUGGGAUUGUUUCUGAAGCUUUUGUCCUGGCAGAAGUUAGGGAGGGAGCCUGCUGAUCUCAUUAGCAAGUUUAGGCCGCACUGAUCCUCCCCUUGUGAGGCCCCUUAGAAGGUCUGAAGUAUCAGAAGUCCUUGGGCCGGUUAAGCCUCGCAAGGUCCUGGGAAGUGAUCUCAGCUGCCCACUGCGGUGGGGGUGGGAUGCCUAGUGUUGGCGUGGUUCGAAUUUUCCUGGGGAUCUCUCCCUCCUCUUCAAGCUAGGCACAGGACGCAUGGUUGAGAGAGCCCAGUUCAUUCAGUACGUGGUCCGGGACUUUCUUCAGCUAUAGGAGGGGAACAAAGACGCCUUUGGUGAGCACCGGCUCUGCAGGUGCAGGGGAGGUGCAGUGCGCAGGCGCCCCAGGGCUGGCGCUGGCUCAAGGUCCAGGUCAACAGCAUGCACUGCGCAGGUGUCCCAGGACUGGUUCGGGCUCAAGUUCCAUGCAAACAGCAUGCACUGCGCAGGCGUCCCAGGCCUGGCGCGGGCUCAGAGUCCAUGCGAACCACACGCACUGUGCAGGUGCCCCAGGACUGGGGCAGGCUAAGGGUUCUUGCAAGCCGUAUGCGCUGCGCAGGCGCCAGGAGGCCCUUCCUUGCAGCCCUAGCUUUGCAGAAAAAGGACGCUUCGCGGGUUGCCUUCUAGGUUUAUGGGGCCGAGCACCGUUUCAGAUGUAACAUUUUCUAAAUUAUCCUUCACUUUCUGCUAUAAAGAGUGGCCACUCCUUUUCCCUCUAGGGGACUGAAGCAAGAGGAGGAUGUUGCAGGGUUUGCCUCUGUGGUCGUCUUCCUUAGAGCAACCCGCCCCCAUACCCGUUUCCUCAGAGCAGUUGCUUAGUGAGUCUCUGCCAGGGACCAGGCUUGGGGAUGGUCUCAAGUAUUAGUUUAGAGGGACGACGCUCUGCGUCACAGGACCUGCCCCAGAGCCCUCAGACUGAGAAGCGUGCUGGUGAAAUGCGCAUGUGCAGGCAGGGCUUCCUGUGGGGCUCUCGCGGGGGCAGCAGCCAAGGAUAGGGGCCCUGGCAGCCUGGAGAGCUGCCCCCUUCUCGGUCCUGGCUGGUGGGGAUCCUGGCUGAGAAUGGCAUCUAGGGGUGUUUAGGGUCUGGAGUUUCUUGGAUUGGAGGUCUUUGUCCCCUGUGGUCGGGGACCUCAGGGUGACCUGAGUUGGUGAUUCCUGGGUUUGCCUACUCUACUGCUGACAGGGACAAGCAGGGGCUGUGCACUUUGUCAUGCCAUCAGUUAAUUGCCAGCAAGGGAGUGAGAGAGGUGGAGUGGGAGUUUGAAUCUCUCCAGGGUGACCCCAAAGUCAAGCCUCGGCAUUUUACCUGUUGGCAAAGAGGACAUUGAACCUGGACAGGAUCUGCGGCUGACAGUGGCAGGAGGACAUUAUGAGCUGAGACAGAUGGGCUUCCAGCAUCUUUCUAAGGUGGACGGGAGAAUUGGUUCUCCCCUUUUUUCCUCCAUGCCUGAGUCAUCUUGAUAAGAAUUUUAUAAACUCAUUUUCUGCUUCAGAAUGUCUUGUGGCCUAUCUACAGGUCCUUGAAAGGCUGUGCCCUGUUCAGCUUGUUUUUACCAACUGUGAGUUUUAAUGGUCUGGAAGGUGGGUUUUGAGUACAUAAAAGGACUCCAGAGAUUUACUUUUGUUGUAAAAAUUAAUAUUUGCAUUAUUACAUUUAGAUUCAUAUCUUAUUAAAUCUUACACUGUGUAAUUCUAGAACGUUUUAACAUUUAUAUGUGGCUCUUGGAUUAACAUUGAUACAUAUUUGCAAAUUUAUACUUUAAAACUUUUUUUUUUUUUUUUUAUACACAGGGUCUCUGUUGCCCUGGCUGUAGUGCAGUGGUGCCA